UACAGAGGGGGCAAGCGUUAUUCGGAAUUAUUGGGCGUAAAGGGCGCGUAGGCGGCUUGGCAAGUGGAUGGUGAAAUCCCUCGGUUUAACCGAGGAACUGCCGUCCAAACUGCUUAGCUUGAGACCGGGAGAGGUGAGUGGAAUUCCCAGUGUAGCGGUGAAAUGCGUAGAUAUUGGGAGGAACACCAGUGGCGAAGGCGGCUCACUGGACCGGUACUGACGCUGAGGCGCGAAAGCGUGGGGAGCAAACGGG
rnacentral:rRNA from 1 species